UACGUAGUCAGCGAGCGUUGUUCGGAUUUACUGGGCGUAAAGAGUGCGUAGGCGGUUUUCUAAGUUUGGUGUGAAAUCUCCCGGCUCAACUGGGAGGGUGCGACGAAGACUGGAAGGCUUGAGUAUGGGAGAGGUAAGCGGAAUUCCUGGUGUAGCGGUGAAAUGCGUAGAUAUCAGGAGGAACACCUGCGGUGUAGACGGCUUACUGGACCAUAACUGACGCUGAGGCACGAAAGCGUGGGUAGCAAACAGG
rnacentral:rRNA from 1 species